rnacentral:lncRNA from 1 species
AUUUCUUUGCUCAACUUGCAUUUUCUAUUUCCAUUUUUAACUUAGAUUCUCUAUUUCCAUGCUCAACUUACAUUCUCUAUUUUCAUACCUAACUUACAAUUUUUAUUUUUAUGUUGAACUUACAUUCUCCAUUUCCAUGCUCAACUUGCAUGCUCUAUUUCUAUGCUCAACUUAUAUUCUCUAUUUCCAUGCUCAACUUGCAUUCUCCAUUUCCAUGUUCAACUUACAUUCUCCAUUUCCAUACUCAAUUUGCAUUCUCUAUUUCCA